CCUACGGGUGGCAGCAGUGGGGAAUAUUGCGCAAUGGGCGAAAGCCUGACGCAGCGACGCCGCGUGAGGGAUGAAGGUCUUCGGAUCGUUAACCUCUGUCAGCAGGGAAGAACGGUCACUGUGCUAAUCCGCAGUGCAUUGACGGUACCUGCAAAGGAAGCACCGGCUAACUCCGUGCCAGCAGCCGCGGUAAUACGGAGGGUGCGAGCGGUAAUCGGAAUUACUGGGCGUAAAGCGCUCGUAGGUGGUAUGUCAAGUCAAGGGUGAAAUCCCCGGGCUCAACGUGGGAACUGCCUUUGAAACUGGCAAACUGGAGUGUGUGAGAGGAAAGUGGAAUGCCAGGUGUAGGAGUGAAAUCCGUAGAUAUCAGGAGGAACAUCAGUGGCGAAGGCGACUAUCUGGCACAUAACUGACGCUGAGGAGCGAAAGCGUGGGUAGCAAACAGGAUUAGAUACCCUGGUAGUC
rnacentral:rRNA from 1 species